UGAAAGGAAAUGGACCAAACCUUCAGCCAUGCAUGCUUGCUUUCUGUCCCCUUGCUUCUUCCUAAUUCCUGCCUGAUUCCCCGUGAUCAAGUCCUUCCCAGCCCUUCCUAGCCCUGCAACAUGGUGCUAAAUGCUAUGUGCUUGCUGGCCCGGUUCAUCAGCUCACAACCAUAGCAGAGGUGCUUGCAGACAGCCCCUGACAGUCCCCUGGCUACUGGUGUCACCUGUGUGAGCUUCUUCUCUGGGCAGUUGGGCCUGAAGACAUAGAACAGCCUGGAUGUACAGUGGUGAUGGCCCCAAGCAGCCCCUCUGCAAUGGGACACAGUUGGUAGACAGUGUCCCAGAUCCCUCGUUUUUCUGAGUGACAACGAACUCUGGCUAGCACCACUCUCCAUGCCUCACCAACUCUGAUCACCAGAAUGCCAAACAGCCCCCUCCCGUCUUGGGGGAGACUUUAGGUUCACAGGACUGAACUCAAGCAAGCUGGUGAGGGCAGACUCUCAGCUUGACCUUCACACUCUGCUUGGAAAGAAGGGCAGCCAUUAUAAGCCAACCAGACACCAAGUGAAGGAGCAGCUCAGCUCUGGCUGAAUUUGGGGGGCUGAGUUCCUCCUCCUGUGGGUCUUUCCUGUCCCCCAUUUUCUAGCAGUUGCAGUAUUUGCUUUGCAAACAUCUCUUCGGCUCUCUUGUUUCUUCCGUCCCCCACUUCGGCUGUUGCAUAGAUAGCUCAUUGCAAUUCAGACACCUGUCACUUUGGAAUGUCAGUGUGGCUGUUGCCAAGCUGAUUAGUCAAGAUGAAGAAAAAAAAACUACAGCACCAUAUAAAUAAAAAAUUACAGACUGUCACAUUGUUUCAAACAAGCCCACCUUGCCUUACUAGACCUCAGCAAAGUGGCCUCCCUUCUGUUCCCAGCUAAAGGGAACAGUACUUAUAAUGUCUUGUUUUUAGUGAUUAAGUGGUUAAUGGUUUAAUGAACUAAAAAAAAAAUCCUCAUUUGUUGCUUCCCUUGGACUCGGGGAGGAAAAAAACCUCAAAGAGCUGAUUUUCUGUGUACCUCAGUCCAAUAUUGCUACCUGCUGGGAUACGAACACAGUCUCUAAAUAAAUUGCUAGUGGCCUUA